rnacentral:snRNA from 1 species
UUGUUUUGGCUACAUAUGCACUAAAAUCAGAAAGAUACAGAGAAGAUUUGCACAGCCUCUGAGCAAGGACAACAUGCAAAUUUGUGAAGCAUUCCAUAUUUUU